CUUCCCCACUUCUUUUUACAACCAAGAGUCUACACAUAAAACAUUUUCACCCAUCCUUUCCAUCAGACAUUUGUGAUUUAAGCUUCAAGAGACUGGGGAAUAAUGCUCCUCUCUUGCUAUUUCAAUAGCCUUCUUAGUAAGUUUCCAUGUUUAUGUCCAGAUUGGAUGUUGUCCUAUAGCAGUGAUGAUGCUGUAAUUUGAAAAGAAUUCUGACUGCCCCUCAACUGUUGUUUUUCUGCAACACACCGUGACUUGUGCAGAAUGCUAACUUCUCCUGCUCUCCUCACCCAAGGGGUAAUACCAUCUUAUUGAACUCUUUGCAACCUGUCCUGGAAAGCCAAAUCCACAAUGCCUUCACCUGCUCCAAAGGCCCUCCUUCCAUCUUGCCAAGUCCUGACAUAUAAACAUUGGAGUUUCAGCAAUUCUACUGCCUUAGAACAGCUCCCACUGAUAAUGACAUAAUGCCACAGACUGGACAAGCUUCCGUAGAAAAUAGGUCUAUUUGGAGCUCAUGGACCUGAAAGACAAGGUUGUGAAUCCACAGUUGAUGACGGCCUUCUUUCUGGUAGAAUCAAAGUCAAUAUCAAGCGUGGUGGUUAACCUGCGUUGCCAGACUUGAUUGAGUGGAGAAAUGCCUACAAAAUUGCCAAGUCACUUGUCAAGGUAUGCUUGUGAAGGUGUUUCCAUACUAUAAAAGGGUGAAGAAUUCCGUCAGCUCCAUCCCAUUGUUUGGGGUCCCUAAUGGAUAAAAAGGAGGCAAAAGGAGAGAAUUGCUAGUUCAAGGAUUCUACUCUGCAUUUUUUUGCGGUCUGUACUGGGUGAUAACUCUGCCACUUCUUCUCCACCAUGGUGGCCUGAAACUGUAUUUAUCCUGCUCCUAUGCCAUUGUCUCCCCAAGGCCAGGGUUACUUGUACCCCUCUUUCCUUUACCUUUUCCUUAUACCGCAUGUGCCACACCAAUCAGAAGUAUUCAUUAUUUUUUUUUGCCUUUAUCACUAGACCAGAAACUCCUACUAGGAUCAUGUAUCCUGUGUUUCUUUUACAUGGCAAGAGAUAACAAAGGGUUCUAGUAGAGGAUAGGCACCUGUAUAUCCCUACAGGUAGUAUCUGAUGUACUAUGAACAUUCGGUCAACCCUUGUGAAAUUAAUAAGUGGGUGAGCUUACCUAAUGUUUAAAACUCAACAACACAGAGAGUUGGCAAAACACACCUCACUGUCCUGAUGUGGAAGCAAGGCAAACUUACAUGAAGAAUUAGAAGGUACUAAAGAUGUGUGGGAGAGACAAUGGAAUACUGAUUUGUUUUUAAGAAAAUUGGAUUCAUCCCAUACAGUCCAGUGAAUGUUAGCAACUGGUAGGUAGCCACCCUGAGGGUUUAUAUAGGCACUUAUUCCAAGAUCAUCUUUCUUUUCAACAAAAUCAAAGAGAAUUCUUCCACAGAGCCCAAUUCUGAGCUAGCAUCAGUGCAAGCCACGUACUGCUUUCAAUACAGCAAUCAGCUUACUGCUUUCUAGAUAGCCAACUGGAAUGCUAUCCAGUUUCCAGACAGGUUCCCCAAAGUCAAACAUGCAUACAUAAGCAACAUGGCCCCUGCACAAUACAUCGUGCAGAAAUAGACCAGGAGACUGUGGAGAAGUGUCAGUACCUGUUUGUUGCAUAGUCC
ensembl:lncRNA